GGGUUGUGAGGUUAAGCGACUAAGCGUACACGGUGGAUGCCCUGGCAGUCAGAGGCGAUGAAGGGCGUGCUAAUCUGCGAUAAGCGCCGGUAAGGUGAUAUGAACCGUUAUAACCGGCGAUACCCGAAUGGGGAAACCCAGUGUGACUCGUCACACUAUCAUUAACUGAAUCCAUAGGUUAAUGAGGCGAACCGGGGGAACUGAAACAUCUAAGUACCCCGAGGAAAAGAAAUCAACCGAGAUUCCCCCAGUAGCGGCGAGCGAACGGGGAGGAGCCCAGAGCCUGAAUCAGCAUGUGUGUUAGUGGAAGCGUCUGGAAAGGCGCGCGAUACAGGGUGACAGCCCCGUACACAAAAGCGCAUGUGCUGUGAGCUCGAUGAGUAGGGCGGGACACGUGGUAUCCUGUCUGAAUAUGGGGGGACCAUCCUCCAAGGCUAAAUACUCCUGACUGACCGAUAGUGAACCAGUACCGUGAGGGAAAGGCGAAAAGAACCCCGGCGAGGGGAGUGAAAAAGAACCUGAAACCGUGUACGUACAAGCAGUGGGAGCACCCUUUGGGUGUGACUGCGUACCUUUUGUAUAAUGGGUCAGCGACUUAUAUUCUGUAGCAAGGUUAACCGAAUAGGGG
rnacentral:rRNA from 1 species